UACAGAGGGUGCAAGCGUUAAUCGGAAUUACUGGGCGUAAAGCGCGCGUAGGUGGUUUGUUAAGUUGGAUGUGAAAUCCCCGGGCUCAACCUGGGAACUGCAUUCAAAACUGACAAGCUAGAGUAUGGUAGAGGGUGGUGGAAUUUCCUGUGUAGCGGUGAAAUGCGUAGAGAUCGGAAGGAACAUCAGUGGCGAAGGCGACACUCUGGUCUGACACUGACGCUGAGGUGCGAAAGCGUGGGUAGCAAACAGGAUUAGAAACCCCAGUAGU
rnacentral:rRNA from 1 species